CCGACCUCAGAUCAGGCGAGACCACCCGCUGAGUUUAAGCAUAUCACUAAGCGGAGGAAAAGAAACUAACAAGGAUUCCCUUAGUAGCGGCGAGCGAACCGGGAAGAGCCCA
rnacentral:rRNA from 6 species